UUCCCAUCCGGGGAAUCAGACCGGGCCGCCUGGGUGAAAGCCAGGAGUCCUAACCACUAGACCACAUGGGA